rnacentral:tRNA from 1 species
AGGUAAAGUGGCCGAGAGAUAGGCGGCGGCUUGUAAUUCCGUCAACAAAGGUUUAAUUCCUUUUUUUACCA